rnacentral:rRNA from 1 species
GUCUUUUAGAUUAUAAUUUAAAGUCAAAUCUGCUCAAUGAUUUAUAUUAAAUAGCUGCGGUAUUUUGACCGUACAAAGGUAGCAUAAUCAAUAGUUUUUUAAUUGAAAGCUAGAAUGAAUGAUUUAAUGAAAUAUAAACUGUCUCAAUUUUAUUAAUUAAAUUUUUUUUAUUAAUUAAAAAAUUAAUAUGAAUUUAAAAGACGAGAAGACCCUAUAGAGUUUAAUUAAUUUAAUUAUAUAUUAUAAUUUAUUUUAUAUAUAAAUAUAAUUUAAUUAAUUUAAUUGGGGUGAUUAAAAAAUUUAAAUAACUUUUUUAAUAAAUUAAUCAUUAAUAAAUGAAUUUUUGAUCUUAAAUAUUAAAAUUAAAAGAUUAAAUUACCUUAGGGAUAACAGCGUAAUUUUAUUGGAGAGAUCAUAUUGAUAAUAAAGAUUGC